UCAUUCAUUUAUUGACUCAUUUUUCAGAUUUUUUUGAGCAUCUACUAUAAUCUAAGGGCCUGUAUAUUUUGAGAAAUGGCUUACUGAGACCAAUGAGAUUAAGUCUCUGAUCUCUGGAGCACCAAGUCCAGUUUGGAAAAGACACAACGAUUCCAAUAUGAUGCAGUGAUGAUAAUGACAGACAUGUGUACAAGGUAUGGUGGGAAAAGAGACAGGCACAUUCAGCCUGAAGUGAUGGGUGAGUGCUUUCACAAGGGGGUGGCAUGUAAAUUGGUUCUUAAAGAAUGACUAGAAGUUACCCAGGCAAAGGUAGGGGAGAGAAGAGAGGACAUUCUAAGCAAAGGGGCUCAUCCCCUGGUUCUAGAGGACCAGUGAGAGAAUAUGUCAAGAAGAGAACUCAGAUCGUACUUUUUUACACUCUCAUUCCACCCUAAAGUGCCAAAACUAGCUUAAUACUCAGUGUGAACAGACAUUAGAUGCUGGAACCAGGAAGACACAAGGGAGACACAUUGCUCUGCACCUUUAAGAGGGUGACAGAAAAAUUCGAAGAUAUGAAGCAGGCUGCAGGGACAGAGGAAGAACCACAAGAGGGCGCUGCCCCCCAGCGGGUGGUGUUUUCACACAAAUUCAUCUUCCACCUCCAAGCGCACCUCAUUUUUACAGCCUGUGACAUGAUCUUGCAGAGAAGUUGACUUGCUUCACACAGGAGCCAAGAUUUUCUAGAGGAUCGACCAAAGGAUCAAGAAAAUAGAGGAACAGCCCUCUCAGCUUUGGUGUAUUCCCAAACAAAACCUGCUGCUGUUUCUCCCCCAGCCAUGCUGUCUGCCUCCUGCUCGGGACUUGUGAUCUUGUUGAUGUUGAGAGGGACCAAUGGAGACUCGGUGACCCAGACAGAAGGCCCUGUUAUCCUGCCCGAGGGGGCACCUCUGACCCUGAACUGCACCUACCAGAGCAGCUAUUCUUUUUCCCUUUUCUGGUAUGUCCAGUAUCAAAACAAAGAGCCUCAGCUCCUCCUGAAAAGCUCAUCAGAAAACCAGGGGGCGGACAGCAGAGGUUUUCAGGCCACUCUUAAUAGGAGUGACAGCUCCUUCCACCUGCAGAAAGCCUCAGUGCAGAUGUCGGACUCGGCCGUGUACUACUGCGCUCUGAGAGACACAGUGAGGGGGAUUCAGGGGGAGCUGAGCACAAACCCAGAGGGUGCAGGUGGGCCUGGCUGUGGCAGCCCUGGGAGGGGUGUUCCCUUCUCUCCAGUGUUCUGUUCUGGAGGCUUCCUCACAGUACUUCCAGCUCUGAUGCCUCAGAGCCAAGGAGCCUUGGAAUUCUUGGAUGAGUCUGCAGAGAGGAAUUAGGGGAGGGACAGUGUAAAGAGGAACCUAAACCCUGUUCUCCAGAAACGCCUCUGUUUUCAGUGCAGCCUCUUUCCCCAAGAUGGUGUACAAUUCCUGGGAAGUGACGUUAACUCUGCUCCAUGACAGUUCAGUUGGUAUGUACUAAAAUAUUUCACAACCUAUUCAUGAAAAUUCUCAGGGCUUGUAGUUCAUGGACUAAUGUGUGACCUUGAAGCUCGUCCAUUGCUUUUACAGUUCAGGCCAGGAUCCUGUGUCUUGCUGAGUUUCACCUGCAGAAACUCCAUCUCCAGUGACUGAAACCCUUAUCCUCUCUUCCCUUGAAUUUUCCUUCCCUAGCGGUCUUUCUAGAAACACUGCUGCCUGAGUAAGUUCUAUGAGGAGAGCUUCCUGAGAUUUUCCUUAUGUCGAGGGCACUGGUUUCAGAACAGCCCAGUCAGUAACAGCUGCGUUCAUUGCGUGUCUUGCUCGCACUGUGCUGACACACCUCCAUGCUUCUUCCUGUCAUCACAGCAGCUCUUUACUGUGACACUAAAUAAUGAUCUGGAUUCUGGACUUGAGGAUCUGUGCUAUGAGGAAUUCUGGAUUCUGGACAUGAGAAGACUAUGUAACUUAAUAUAUUAUUUUAUCAUUGCAUUUAUGCCUGUGAUCCUUCUGAAGUGUGUCAAAUUCAGUGGCCAAGAAAACACUCAGGUGUCUGUUUAUAAGACAGAACGAUAUUCAUGGACUCUUGUUCACUGGGACCCCAAAUGGCUAAAAUAAUCUCAAGUUUCUCCACACCAGAGAAACACAAAGUAGAGAAAUGUUCACCUUUCACUAACCCCUGAGGGGAUGUAGCUCACUAAGAGAAACUUUUCUGGACAUUCUGGAAUUCUGUGAGCCUCGUUUGUCCUUUUUCCAUCUUUCAUGAUGCUGUGGGAUUGACAGGUGCAAACAUGGGUUUUGCAGGGUCUGGUGCUUCUUCGAUUUCUGAGGCUCUCUUUAAGAAAAAGAAAAGAAAAUUACAAAUACAAGUUUCUGGGACCCAGGAUGAUAAGAGGGCCUAAAAUAUAAGCCUGAUUUGCUUUAAGGUAAAUCUGACUCUGGGAUCCCACAGAGAUCAUCGUCCUCCGUAAGACUGAAAUACUAGGAUAGUCUGCGUUUGUCCCGACCUCUCCACCCACCAGUCCUCCUUUAUACUCUAGCACUAGAUCUAUUAUUGCGUAGUUUGAGCUCUAUUUUUUUUAAAAAGCAGCUUUAUUGAGAUUUGCAUAUCAUAAACUUAAUCCGCUUAAGUGUAAAAUGCAGUGAUUUUUAGUAUGUUCAGAGUUGUGCAAUCAUCGCCAAUAUCUAAUUCCAGAUCACCACCCACAAAAACCCUGCACCCGUUAGGGUCACUCCCCUUCCCCUUUUCCCCCAGCUGCUGGCAACCACUAAUCUACUUUCUGUCUCUAUGGAUUUGUCUAUUCUGCACAUUUCAUAUAAAUAGAAUCAUGUAGUAAAUGGCCUUCUGUGUCUGGUUUAUUUCAUAUAGCAUAAUCUUUUCAGGGUAUAUCCAUGUAUCAGUACUUCACUGCUUUUCAUGACCACAUAAUAGUGCAUUGGAUGAAAAUCCCUUAUUUUCUUUAUCCAUUCAUCAGUUGAUGGGCAUUUUGGUUGUUUCCGCUUUGGGGCAAUCAUGAAUAAAGCUGCUAUGAGUGUUCAUGUACAGGACAUCUGUUAUUUUAAACUCUAACAUAUUUUGAGUUAGAAGUUUCUGUUAGUUUUGUUUUGCUUUGUUUGGUACCAACAUUUCUUUAUGGAUAUAAAAUGAGCUAAUAUAUGAGAAAAUACCCUUUAAAAAUAAUGAUUUGUGUCAA